rnacentral:rRNA from 1 species
GUCGGCAUGCCUUACACAUGCAAGUCGAACGGCAGCACGGGGGCAACCCUGGUGGCGAGUGGCGAACGGGUGAGUAAUACAUCGGAACGUGUCCUGUAGUGGGGGAUAGCCCGGCGAAAGCCGGAUUAAUACCGCAUACGAUCUACGGAAGAAAGCGGGGGAUCCUUCGGGACCUCGCGCUAUAGGGGCGGCCGAUGGCAGAUUAGCUAGUUGGUGGGGUAAAGGCCUACCAAGGCGACGAUCUGUAGCUGGUCUGAGAGGACGACCAGCCACACUGGGACUGAGACACGGCCCAGACUCCUACGGGAGGCAGCAGUGGGGAAUUUUGGACAAUGGGGGAAACCCUGAUCCAGCAAUGCCGCGUGUGUGAGGAAGGCCUUCGGGUUGUAAAGCACUUUUGUCCGGAAAGAAAACUUCUGCCCUAAUACGGUGGGAGGAUGACGGUACCGGAAGAAUAAGCACCGGCUAACUACGUGCCAGCAGCCGCGGUAAUACGUAGGGUGCGAGCGUUAAUCCGAAUUGCUGGGCGUAAAGCGUGCGCA